CGGCGUCUCCCUCUCAAGACAAGAGGAGAAGAAAAAACUCCCCUCAAAGGACUCUCUCGGCUCUCUAUCCCUCUCGCUCUCUCUCAAUUUGGACCGUCAAAAAAAAAAAAAAACUGUCACACAGUACACAAAAGAAGGAGAAGGAAAACAUCCAACAAAAACACAUACAACUCAAACCCAAUACCCCAACUCUCGGUCCCUUUUUGCCUCUCUUAAGUUCACACACCCAUCCAGAAAUCAACAAAAGGAGAGCAAGCGGUCAGACCAUUGAGGUUUAGGAAUUUCAGCACAAAGCUCAACCAAGUGACUGCAAUAUUCUAGAGCCUAAGUCUCCUGCUUCUCCUUCCCUCCAUAGUAGCAGCUCUUCCCGGUCAUCCAUCGAUGUGGGCUACUCUUACUUGCAAUAGCAUACGAUUUCUGCGCUACCGCCUUACUUCUCUGCCGCCGGUAUCUACUUCCGCCUCAUACUCUCGUCUAUUGACGCGCUUUAACUUCAUAGUUUUCAUGGAGCCCCAUCACAAUAGCUUUUCUCGUCUUCCUCUUCAUCUACUACUUUCUCUCAUUCCUCGCGCAGUGGAGGUCGAGGAAGAGGUUUGGAUAGUAUGAAAGAUACUACUAGAGAAAGGCACAGAGGCCGUGGCGGUGGCAAGUGGCGGUGGAAAGAUAAAAUUGAUGCACUUGGAGGCUUCUAACACGUGUUUUGCGGCAUAUGGCUUCUGAGUUAAACUUGAACAUGAGGAAUGAUGGAUUUGUUAAGGUUGACG